rnacentral:rRNA from 1 species
UACGUAGGGGGCUAGCGUUAUCCGGAAUUAUUGGGCGUAAAGCGCGUGUAGGCGGCUUUGCAAGUCGGGUGUGAAAUCCCUCAGCUUAACUGAGGAAGUGCGCCCGAAACUGCUUAGCUUGAGUGCCGGAGAGGAUGGCGGAAUUCCCCAAGUAGAGGUGAAAUUCGUAGAUAUGGGGAGGAACACCGGUGGCGAAGGCGGCCAUCUGGACGGUAACUGACGCUGAGACGCGAAAGCGUGGGUAGCAAACAGG